UGAGGGGGGCUGCUCCUAGUACGAGAGGACCGGAGUGGACGCAUCACUGGUGUUCGGGUUGUCAUGCCAAUGGCACUGCCCGGUAGCUAAAUGCGGAAAAGAUAAGUGCUGAAAGCAUCUAAGCACGAAACUUGCCCCGAGAUGAGUCUUCCCUGAGACUUUGAGUCUCCUGAAGGAACGUUAAAGACGAUGACGUUGAUAGGCCGGGUGUGUAAGCGCAGCGAUGCGUUGAGCUAACCGGUACUAAUGAACCGUGAGGCUUAACCUU
rnacentral:rRNA from 1 species